CCAAAGGAAGUAAGAACAAGGGCCCCUCCAAGGCAGCACAGAAGAAAGCCGAGGCAACUGGGGUGAAAAGACCCAGGGGACGACCGAGGAAAUGGCCACAACAAGUCGUCCAGAAAAAGCCUGCUCAGGAAGAACAAGAAGAAGAGGCUGGAGAGUCCCCAGAGAAGGACUAAGCUUCCAACCGUCAAACCUCUACCUCAUUCAGCUGUCAGGUCUUUCAAAGGGAAAAGACUGCCUUGACCACUUAUUUUUGACUUUUUCCAACAUUAUCUUACAGGUUUAAUUUCAGUUAGAGAAUUUCCAUGUCCAGUUUUUCUUUCAGUUUGCAGGCUUUGAGUGCAUCCUCACUGAUCUGUCACUGAACAGGCAAAAAUGUUCCGUUCUACAUUUUUUACAAAGACCAUUUGGAAUGCAGCAGCAUGGGGAACAUCAAAAGGAAACCUCUAGUAAUUGUACUGCUGCUAGCUCCUAUUGGCUGAACACAAAAACAGAGUUUAGCAGAAAGUUCAAAACAGACACAUAUCAGGCACAGAAAAACGUAUCAUCAGCCCUGCACAACAAACCUACACUCCUCAAUGAGAACCAACUAAAAACAAACAGAAACUGACAGCCAUAAUGAGUUAAUGUGGCCACACCCCAGCUGUUGGGAUUUGUAGUUCAGGAACCUCAGAACACCAUCAUCUUCAAAUGAGUGAGAGCAUUAGCGGCAGGUGCAUCAUUCUGAGGACUGCACCUUUGUACUGACGUGCAAAUCGAAUGCCCUCAUAGUACAACUGCAGUACUCUAGACUUCUGUCAUAGACAGACACAGACCCCAUCAGUGCUGACCGAUUCUCCAGAUGUUGACAGUAGAAAAGACUGGAACAGUCUGGUUUUGUCAUACAGAAAUGUAGAACAAAUGUCUGCUGUUCCAAUAUAUCAGUGUUGUCCCUGGAACAAAUGAACCGCCCCGACCAUCCCAAACUGGUGCUAGAUCACCAAAGACAGGGAGACACAGAGAUCUUUCCUCAGGGCAGUGGCUUUUCCAUCCUGUUUGCUUAAAGCCAUUUAGAAAAAAAAGUUUGCUGAAGUUGUUGGCUCAGAUUUAGCUUUAGAAUCCCUCAUAGAUUCCCCAUACAUCAUCUUUACAUUUACAAGAAAGCCAUCUUCCUGUAUCUUCUUUCUCUGCUGAACAUGCAGGGACCAACCAGCACCUAAUACAAAAGUUCAUCACUGGGUGAACCUGUCUGGUCUCUUGA